AGUGAACGCUGGCGGUAGGCCUAACACAUGCAAGUCGAACGGCAGCACAGAAGAGCUUGCUCUCUGGGUGGCGAGUGGCGGACGGGUGAGGAAUACAUCGGAAUCUACUUUUUCGUGGGGGAUAACGUAGGGAAACUUACGCUAAUACCGCAUACGACCUACGGGUGAAAGCAGGGGACCUUCGGGCCUUGCGCGAUUGAAUGAGCCGAUGUCGGAUUAGCUAGUUGGCGGGGUAAAGGCCCACCAAGGCGACGUUCCGUAGCUGGUCUGAGAGGAUGAUCGGCCACACUGGAACUGAGACACGGUCCAGACUCCUACGGGAGGCAGCAGUGGGGAAUAUUGGACGAUGGGCGCAAGCCUGAUCCAGCCAUACCGCGUGAGUGAAGAAGGCCUUCGGGUUGUAAAGCCCUUUUGUUGGGAAAGAAAUCCAGCUGGCUAAUACCCGGUUGGGAUGACGGUACCCAAAGAAUAAGCACCGGCUAGCUUCGUGCCAGCAGCCGCGGUAA
rnacentral:rRNA from 1 species